AGUCGUAACAAGGUUUCCGUAGGUGAACCUGCGGAAGGAUCAUUACUGAGUGAGGGCCCUCUGGGUCCAACCUCCCACCCGUGUUUAACGAACCUUGUUGCUUCGGCGGGCCCGCCUCACGGCCGCCGGGGGGCAUCCGCCCCCGGGCCCGCGCCCGCCGAAGACACCUGUGAACUCUGUCUGAAGUUGCAGUCUGAGAAACUAUUUAAAUUAGUUAAAACUUUCAACAACGGAUCUCUUGGUUCCGGCAUCGAUGAAGAACGCAGCGAAAUGCGAUAAAUAAUGUGAAUUGCAGAAUUCAGUGAAUCAUCGAGUCUUUGAACGCACAUUGCGCCCUCUGGUAUUCCGGAGGGCAUGCCUGUCCGAGCGUCAUUGCUGCCCUCAAGCACGGCUUGUGUGUUGGGCCCCGUCCCCCCCCUCCCGGGGGGACGGGCCCGAAAGGCAGCGGCGGCACCGCGUCCGGUCCUCGAGCGUAUGGGGCUUUGUCACCCGCUCUUGUAGGCCCGGCCGGCGCUUGCCGACCCCCUCAAUCUAUUUUUCAGGUUGACCUCGGAUCAGGUAGGGAUACCCGCUGAACUUAAGCAUAUCAAUAA
rnacentral:misc_RNA from 1 species